CAUAUGGCGCCGUGAGGCGCCAACACCGUGGGCCCGCGUUUGUUUUGGACUCUGGGGACGGGGGGCAACACCGGCGUUGCUGGAAGGGCGGCCGCCCGGGGCGGGAGAGGCUACCGGAAAAGCACCUGCGCCUCGCCGCUAGCCCUGUGAGCUGCCGGGGUUCUGAACUCCCUGGCCCCUGGGGGUCGAGUCAGCAUUCGGUCCCAGAACUCGGCAGGCUGCGAGCUGGCAGGAGCCGGCACAGCUGGUGCGGAAACCCCCAGGAACUCCGCGGCUUCGCCCCGCGGCCCUUGCAAACAUAGAGGUGACUGCUCGCAAAACCCCCUUGCACACAUGGGAGCUGCCGGCUUCCAAAGCCCCCUUGCACACCUGGAGCUGCCGGCUUCCAAAGAUCCCUUGCACACAUGGAGCUGCCUGCUUCCCCGCCCACCCCAAGGCCGGGGCUGGGCUCCAGCGGUACUUUUUCAAUAGGCGGGGGUUGAGUUAGGGAAGCUCCCCGCCCAUAGGGGCUGGAGAAGGUGAGCAAGGGGGAGGGGCGGGAAGUCAGCAGGCAGGCUCGAUGAUUGGCUGAGUCUUUGAUGGAUGGGUAUUGUGUCCAAUGUUGGAACGAAGCUUGAGGUUUUUUUUUUUCCUCUGCGGGGCGGGGCGGUAUUUCCCUGGUAACGGAGAAGUGGCGGGUGGUAAAAGUGGUUGAGGUUUUCUCCAUCUUCCCUCCCUCCCUCCUUUCUAGUCUGGGCACCAGGUCUGUGACCGUUUCGUUAGCGGAGAGGUAGCUGCCAGUCAGCUUCGGUAGGCCUGUGCCCCCAGCCCUUCUGGCGGCCUCCGUGCUGAGCUCGCGGCUCACGCAGAGAGGGACGUGCAGUGACCGGCGGCCGAAGCAGCUUUGCGGUGAGAGCACGCGGGGCCGGGGUCGGCCGGGAGCCUGGUGGCGGGUAACGCCGCACUCUAGGAAUGAAGCGGCAUUUGGAUGACCAGGAGUCACUGUCGUAUGCAGCCCAGCAGUGUCAAAUCCCUGGCAGCACAGAGGCUUUCCUCACCGGCACCGGGUGCUUGCCCCCACCCCUCCUGUGAAUGAAGCAGUGGCAGAGACCAUGCAGUCAGCCCUGGGAAUUCAGUACUCUAACACCGAGCUACCAGGUAAGCUUGAGUCAACCUGAGAUUAACCCCCAUAUAGGCACUGAGAAGGGAGAGCUAAGCAGAAUCCUGGCACAAUUAAGAUCUGAAGAAUGUCUCCAUUUAUCGUAUUACUACUCAGUUAUUUCCCUUUAUAUAAUCCUCUAUAUGUAAUCAUAUAUUAGUUCAUAGAAUGAGUACCUAAAGAAUAUCUUACCACUCAGUUAUUUCCAUAUAUAUAUAUGGAUAUAUAGCUAUAAGAUAUAUGUAUAACUAUAUAUCAUAUAUAUGGAAAUAUAGUUUUAUGUAUAUAACUUUAUUUUAUAACUAUAUAUAAGAUAUAAUUAUAGUUAUAAGAUAUAGUUUUAUAUGUAUGUGUGUGUAUAUAUAAUACAUGUAUAAUAUCUUAGUUCGUAAUCAGAGGAAUGCCUAGAGUAGACAUGGCACAGAGCAUGAAUUAAGGAAUAAGCAGCUUAUAGUCGGACGAAUGUCUGGAGCAGAUACAGGGCAGAGCAUGAUUUAAGGGAAAACAGUUAUUAUACCAGGACAAGAAUCCAUGGCCCAGGCAGCAGUGUUCAAUAUCGUAAGAUACCCUCUGUAUGACAGGCUUGGGGCAAGAGCCACUCCUCUUGAUAAGGGAGUUGUAGGACCUUGCUCCAGUUCUUGUGGAGGGCUGCCCUCAGACCAGCAAUCCCUUGAGCAUCUGAGGGCUCAAAACCCCUCUGGAUAAUCGCACCUUAGAGACUGUGAACCUUAUCAGCUCUUGUUACUGUGCUGCUCGAAAAGCAUCUUCCUAUAGAACCCACUGGAAGCUGCCAGCAGGUGGCAGUAACCCUGACAGCUCUGUCACUGCUGUGUAACUUUAAGCAUCCUCCUAUAAAUCUUUUUAAGGUAGCUUGCCUAUAGAUAGAGGUAUUGCACACUGCACCCUCUUCACUGCACACGGCCCACCUCCAUGCCUUGGUGACCUAAUGGGGGUGGGCACCUGACUGCACAUGGCCCACUUCCUUACCUCAAUGAGCUAAUGGGAAUGGACCCCUUGCUGCACACUGUUCACCUUCUGGCCUAGGUGAUCUAAUGGGGAUGGACCCCUUAUUUUAUGGCUCACGAUCCUAUCACUAUCCUUAAAGAUGGCUUCACUCACUACCUUGCCCCAACCUAAACCCAAUAAUACUGACGCUUCUGGACAUUCAGGGCCUCACCUGACUCCACUUAUACAUGGCGUGGCCCCGCUGAACCCAGCUGUGUUUUCCUUGUACUUCUGUGUCCUGUCUCUAUUUCUCAGAUACUGCACAUCAGCACAGCAUAAGGGAUACCCCACAACCCUGUAGGGUUCUCAGCGCCACACAACCAAGGAACUAGAGUGAGGGAGGAGGAAUAGUGAUUUUUGGGCAAUUAGAAAACAUUUUGUAAUAUUGAGAUAUUAAAAAAUUGUGGAGUAUGUGUAAGGUUAAAAAAAAAUAACUUGUAUCCUCACCAUACAAGUUUUUGAAAAAAGAAUGUCAUUGUGGCCUUUGAAGUUCCCUGUGUAUCCUUCUCUGAUCCCUUCUUUCCCCUCCCUUCAGAGAUAGCCACUCAUCUAAACUUUGUGUUUAUCAUUCCCUUGACUUUAUUGACAAAAAAAAAAAAAAACUCUAACAUAAUUGUUUAGUUUUGGUAUUUUUUUUUUUUUGAGACAGAGUUUCACUCUUGUUACCCAGGCUGAAGUGCAAUGGCAUGAUCUCGGCUCACCGCAACCUCUGCCUCCUGGGUUUAGGCAAUUCUCCUGCCUCAGUCUCCUGAGUAGCUGGGAUUACAGGCAUGCACCACCCUGCCCAGCUAAUUUUUUGUAUUUUUAGUAGAGAUGGGGUUUCACCAUGUUGACCAGGAUGGUCUCGAUCUCUUGACCUCAUGAUCCACCCACCUUGGCCUCCCAAAGUGCUGGGAUUACAGGCUUGAGCCACUGUGCCCAGCUAGUUUUGGUAUUUUUGAAUUUUUAUAUAAAUGGAAACAUUUUCUUCUUUGGCUCACUUUUUAAAAAAAAACUCCAUAUUUAUAUAGUUAGCUGUAACUGUACCAUUUUCACUCUGGUAUAAACUAUAUGCAUAUAUUCAAUUUAUUUGUCAAUUCUACUGUUGGACUAUUGAGCCAUUUCCAGGUUUUUGCUUUUACAAAGGAGCUGUUGUGAACAUUCUGAUGUUCUCUUAGUGCAUUUAGUGGUAAUUUAUGACAAAAUAAGAAUCUUGUGCCAGAAUUUAAAUCAACACACUUAUUAAGACAGUUUUGCUGUUUAUUUGAAAAAGAAAAGCAGUUGAAUUAAACAUCAUUUUAGAGAAAUACAGCUAUCUCUUGGACAGUGUGAGGGUGGAUGCACUGACCCUCCCUCCAUGCAGUCAAAACCACAUGUAUAACUUUUUUUUAAGGAGACAGGGUCUUGCUCUGUGGCCCCUGCUGGGGUGCAGUGAUGUGAUCAUGGCUCAGUGCAGGCACAAAUACACAAAAUACAUACUAAUCAACCAUAUGUGUUAUUGGUAAAGCUUCUGGACAAUGAUAGGCUAUUUGUAUUUAAGUUCUGAGGGAGUGAAAAGUUAUACAUGGGCUGGACGAGUGAGUCGACUUGUCCCAGCUCUUUGGGAGGCUGAGAUGGGAGGAUAGCUUGGGGCCAAGAAUUUAGGACCAGGCUGGGCAAUAUAACAAGAACUCAUCUCUACAAAAAUCAUAAAAAUUAGCCAAGCAUGGUGGCGCCCACCUGUAGUCCUAGCUACUAGGGAGGCUGGGGCAUGGGAGGACUGCUUAAGCCCAAGACUUUGAGGCUGCAGUGAGGCUUCCUGCUUUGUUAUUGUGGCUCUUAAAUCUGUUCUCAACACAGCAGUCCAAGUGAUUCUUUUGAAACCUAAGUCAUACCAUUGUCAUUUCUCUGCUUAAAACCAUCUUGUGGCUUUACAUUUCAGUAUGAGUAUUAAACUGGAGUUCUUAUUAAGAUAUGUCUGUAAUCAUGGCACUUUGAGAGCUGAAAGGAGAGGAUCAUUUGAGGCCAGGAGUUUUGAGAUCAGCUUGGGCAUCAUUACAAGGCCCUGUCUCUAUAAAAAAAGAAAAAAAAGUAAAAAUAAAAUCUGGGCAUAGUGGCUCAUGCCUAUAAUCCCAGCACUUUGGGAGGCCGAGAAGGGCGAAUCACAAGUCAGUUUAAGACCAGCCUGGCCAAUAUGGUCUCUACUAAUACAAAAGUUAUCCGGGCUGAGUAGGAGAGAGAAGAAAGAUGAAGGGUUAGUCUGGCCAUCUCAUGGGUGGCAGAGGUGGGAGAAAAUCCACUUAUAAGUUGACUUGCAUUGUUGCUGGGUGCAGUGUCUCACACCUAUAAUCCCAACAUUUGGGGAAGCAUGAGGAUUGCCUGAGCCUGAGUUAGAGACCAGCCUGGGCAACAUAUCAAGACCCUGUCUCUUCUAAACAUAAACAAAGAUUAGCAGGGCAUAGUGGUGCACACUUGUGUUCAGCUACUUGGGAGAUUGAGGUGGGAGGAUCAUUUGAGCCUGGGAGGUAGAGGCUGCAGUGAAUAUGCUACUGCAUACCAGCAUGGGUGACAGAGUGCAAACUUGUCUCAAAAAGAAAUAAUUAAUUAAUUUGAAAAAAUAAAUAAAAAAUAAGCCAGGCAUAGUGGUAUAUCUGUAGUCCUAGCUACCCAGGAGACAGAGGUAAGAGGAUUGCUCAAGCCCAGGAAGUCAAGGCUGCAGUGAGCUAUGAUCAAGCCACUGUACUUCAGACUGGACAAUAGUGCAAGACCCCCUCUCCUUAAAAACGAAACAAAAACCCAUGUUAUUCAAAGGUCAGCCAUAGUUGGUUUACAUUGUGGUGCAAACUCCUUAUCCUGUUGCAAACCAGUCAGCAGGUUUGAGGACAUAGAGGAGUUUCUCAAUAACCUAUGAAAGGGAUUGCUGGGGUACCAAAUUGUGUUUAGAAAGUAUACCAAUUUAAAUUCCCUCAAGCAUUGUAUACUUCUCUCAUUCUGUGUCCUGACCAGCACUGAUCAUUCAUCUAUUACUGUUUUGUAGAAGUGAAGGAAUUUGGUUUUUGCCCUUUUUAUUAUGAAAGUAAUACAUCAGUUUGUUUAUUUUUAUUUUUUUAAGAUGGACUUUCACUCUUAUCGCCCAGGCUGGAGUGCAGUGGUGCAGUCUCAGCUCACUGUAACAUCUGCCUCCUGGCUUCAAGGGAUUCUCCUGCCUCAGCUUCCCAAAUAGCUAGAAUUAAAGGUACCCCCUGCCACACCCAGCUAAUUUUUUGUAUUUUUAGUAGAGAUGGGGUUUCGCCAUGUUGGCCAGGCUGGUCUCGAUCUCCUGACCUCAGGUGAUCCACCCGUCUCAGCCUCCCAAAGUACUGGGAUUACAGGCAUGAGCUACCACACCCAGCCUACUUUAUUUUAUUUGAGACAAAGUCUUGGUCUAUUGCCCAGGUUGGAAUGCAAUAACACAAUCUUGGCUCACUACAGCCUCCACCUGCUGGGUUGAAGCAGUUUUCCUGCUUCAGCCUCCGAAGUAGCUGGGAUCACAGGCGUGUUCCACCACGCCCAGCUAAUUUCUGUAUUUUUAGUAGAAAUAGGGUUUCACCAUGCUGGCCAGGCUGGUCUCGAACUCCUGACCUCAGGUAAUCUGCCUGCCUUGGCCUUCCAAAGUGCUGAGAAAACAGGAGUGAGCCACUGCACCUGGCCUUAUUUUAUUUUAUUUUAUUUUAUUUUUUUGAGAUGGAGCCUUGCUCUGUUGCCUUGGCUAGAAUGCUCCAUCAUUGAUUGAUGGAGACAGAGUCUCACUCUGUUGCCCAGGCUGGAGUGCGGUGGCAUGAUCUCAGCUCACUGCAACCUCUGCUUCCUGGGUUCAAGUGAUUCUCGUGCCUCAGCCUCUCGAGUAGCUAGGAUUACAAGUGCACACCACCAUGCCUGGCUAAUUUUUAUAUUUUUAGUAUAGACGGAGUUUUACCAUGUUAGCCAGGCUGGUCUUGAACUCCUGGUUUCAAGUGAUCUGCCCACCUCAGCUUCCCAAAGUGCUGGGAUUACAGGCAUGAGCCCUGUACCCAAGCCACACUUUGUUUUGUUUUGUUUUUUUAAAAAAGGAAAUAGGCUGGGUGCUGUGGCUCAAACCUGUAAUUUCAGCACUUUGGGAAGCCAAGGUGGGUGGAUCACAAGGUCAGGAAUUUGAGACCAGCCUGACCAACACUGUGAAACCCUGUCUCUACUAAAAAUAUAAGAAUUAGCUGGGCAUGGUCCUGGCACCUGUGAUCCCAGCUACUUGGGAUGCUAAGGCAGGGGAAUCACUUGAACCCAGGAGGCACAGGUUGCAGUAGCCAAGAUCAUGCCACUGCACUCCAGCCUGGGUGACAGAGUGAGACUGUCUCAAAAAACAAAGAAAAAAGCAGCAAAGUAAAAGUCGUCUUUAAUUCUGUAACCACAAGAUUAAAUGCUAACAUUUUACUAUAUAUUAGUUGUCUAGGGUUUAAAAUCUUUUUAUCAUACUGCUUCAUAAUAUGCUUUUAUUUAUUUUGAGAUGGGGUUUUGCUCUGUCACCCACUGUAGUGUGCUUUAAAAAUGAUUUAAAGGUUUAAUCUGUAUACAGUACGUGAAUACAUUCAACCUGUGGAUUAUGAACCUUUUUUUGAAGUUAAAAUAUAGCUAUCUAUAUUACUGCUACUGAAAGUGUGGCUUACAAAUGGCGAAUCUGUAUCCUGUGUUACUAGUCUAUAAUGACAUAGUAUAGAAAUUGAGAGCAUUUAGAAACUGUUCUAGUAAUUGGACAUUAUCAUUUUUUAUUUGUAAAAUUCAGUAAUGAAAGUUACAGCCUGGGCACGGUAGCUUAUUCCUGUAAUCCCAGCACUUUAGGAGGCCAAGGCAGGUGGACUGCAUGCCCAAGAGUUCGAGACCAGCCUGGGCAACAUGGUAAAACCCUGUUUCCACAAAAAGAAUGACAAGUAACCAGGCCUGGUGGUACGUGCCUGUAGUCCCAGCUACUCAGGAGGCUGGGGUGGGAGGAUCAUCGGAAUCUAGGGAGGUCAGGGCUGCAGUGAGCCAUGAUUGUACCACUGCAUUCCAGCCUGGGUGACAGGGUGGGACCCUAUCUCAAUAAAAAGAAAAGAAAAUUAGGCCGGACACGGUGGCUCAAGCCUGUAAUCCCAGCACUUUGGGAGGCCGAGGUGGGUGGAUCACAAGGUCAAGAGAUCGAGACCAUCCUGGUCAACAUGGUGAAACCCCAUCUCUACUAAAAAUACAAAAAAUUAGCUGGGCAUGGUGGUGCAUGCCUGUAAUCCCAGCUACUCAGGAAGCUGAGGCAGGAGAAUGCCUGAACCCAGGAGACAGAGGUUGCAGUGAGCCGAGAUUGCACCAUUGCACUCCAGCCUGGGUAACAAGAGUGAAACCCUGUCUUAAAAAAAAAAAAAAGAAAAGAAAAGAAAAUUACAGGUUUAUGUAUUUUUUAUUUCACUUUGACAAUAAUUUAUUUUUAUUGGAUUUUUAUACAAGUUGUAGUCCUUGGUGGAUUGGAAUUUUAAGAAAAAUACUCAUCCUUUACAACAGAUAGUUUGAGAUAAACCAUAUAAUUCUUGUUUCUUCUUUUUGGAGACAGAGUCUUGCUCUAUCAUCUAGGCAGGAAUGUAAUGGCAUGAUCUCAGCUCACUGCAACCCCCACCUCCUAGGUUCAAGUGAUUCUCGUGCCUCAGCCGUGACCUCACGUGUCACCAUGUCCAGCUAAUUUUUUUGGUCUUUUUAGUAGAGACAGGGUCUUGACAUGUUGGCCAGGCUGAUCUCGAGCUCCUGGACUCAAAUGAUUUGCCUGCCUAGACCUCCCAAAAUGCUGGUUAUAGGCAUGAGCCACUGUGCCCAGCUAAACAAUAUAAUUUUUAAUAGCUACAAAUAAUCCUAUUAUAACAUGGGUGGGCUGUAAUUUAUUUCUCCAGUUUCGUUUUUGAAAGUUUGAGUUUUUUUCUUUUCUUUCUUUCUUUUUUUUUUUUUUUCUUUUCUGACAGGGUCUCUCUUUGUCACCCAGGCCAGAGAGCAGUGGCAUGACCAUAGCUCACUGCAGCCUUGAACUCUGGGACUUGAGCAAUCCUCCUCCUUUAGCCUCUAGAGUAGGUGGAACCACAGGUGCCAGUUUUUUAUUUUUGUGGAGAUGGUGUCUCACUGUGUUGCCCAGCAGUCUUUCCUCUUUUUUCUCUUUUUAGAGGCACAGUCUAACUCUGUGGCCCAAGCUGGGGUGCCCCGGCAUGAUCAUAGCUCACUGCAGCCUUGAACUCCUGAGUUCAGGUGAUCUUCCCAUGUGGGUGAGACAGGUAUGAGCCAUCAUGCCCAGCAGAAAUUUGGGUUUCCAGUUAAUUAUCACUGUGCAUUUGUGUUAGUUAUUCAGACACGUUUGGGGAAGAAUGUACAAGCCUUGAAGUUUCCUGUCUGUAUGUUGUUCAUUCCAGGUUUCAGCUGUGCCAGAGAGCUCUGGCAUUUAUGGGCCCACCAUAGCAUCAGUUCAUAGCAGCCAUCAUCACCCAACAGCUGGGCAGCCCCACCAGUUUCAUUAGUGCCAGGACAGCACCAGUUUCAGAGGCUGAAGGUGGUAUUCAGCUCCUUUUCUUGGGUCAAAAAGUUUAUCUUUAGCAGGAAAUAUUGGCUGCAGCUCGUCAGUCAUGGUGGUACAACUUUUAACCUGAGAUACUAGGUGUCAAAUCACAGUUUUUCUUUGUUUUUGUUUUGUGAAAUUUGCUUAUGUUUUCUAUCUUGGCACCAGUGCCUGAUCCAGAGAAGAAUAUACUCAAAUGUUUGUGGACUGUAUGAAUGCAUGCCACUCAAAUGUUAUCAGGACUGAAGGGCCAUUUCAUACAAAAUAAACCUUAAAAUCCAUUUCUUGGCUGUUUCCUUUUGAACUCUCUAUUCAGCACACAUAUGAUUGGCUACAGGUUUGUACAGUAAAUUGGCCCAGUAAUAUGUCUACAGUUCAAUCUUUUUAAAUUCUUUUUAAUUUUUGGAGAUGGGGUCUCACUGUGCUGCCCAGGCUGGUCUCAAACUCCUGGUCUCAAGUGAUUCUCCCACCUUGGCCUUCCAAAGUCUUGGGAUUACAGGUGCAAGCCACUAUGCCCAGCUCAUGCCUAUAACAUUUUUAUUACCUUCAUCUGUUAGUUCCUGUUUAUGAAUAGCUGAACUGACUCACAUCAUCCUCAGUAAAACACAUGCUCCUUUUUGGGGCAAUCUUUAUAAACUUUAGGAAAAACUGUAACUGUGAAUGAAUUAUCAGUGUUUUCAUAUUUUCUGCUGAGUAUGUGUGGUAGGUUUCUGGUGCUUUGAAACUCUUGAUGCAUCUGCGGAGAGGUGAAGUUUGUGUUCCCAGCUAACCUUGUAUCUCUGACCACUUGAAUGUUACUUUUAAAAUGUGUGAUUGUUGCAGAAAGUAUUCAGGUUUCAAGUCUUCUAAUUUUACAUUUAUAUAAAAUUGAGUUCAGGAAAUAAUAAAGGGAGGUAACUCUGAAGAGAUGUUAAAUCUGUAUUUGGUUAUAGCAGCCUACUUAAGUUUGCAGGCGGGAAUGAGCAAUAAACCCUUGAAAGACACAGCCAUAUGCAGUAAUAGAUCUGUCCUCUGUUUUCCCUGAUACUUAUUUAGUUCUUCUUGAUCCCUGCCCUCAUUGGUGUGGAUUCUUGGAAACUUAUUUAAUAUUGGUCUAAGGACAUUAAAUGCUACAUAAAUAUUAUAAAGUACAGCAAAGCUAAGUGAUUCAGAGGAAUUUUAUAAAAUUUACUCUCUAUAUUGGCUUAUAUAAUAUUGACUAAUGUACAGUCUUUAUUUAUUUAUUUUUAAGGCGGGGUCUCACCAUGUUGGUCGGGCUGGUCUUGAACUCCUGACCUCAGGUGAUCCACCCGCCUUGGCCUCCAAAGUGCUAGGAUUACAGGCAUGAGCCACCGCGCCUAGCCAUACAUAGUUUUUAAAGACUGUGCAGAUAUUUUAGGCCUGAAGCUUCACUCUGGAUUCUGUCUUUGCGAAAAUGCGCAUUAGCAAUAUUGAUGUUUUCCUUAGAAAUUUCACUCUCUUGUAAAGUGAUGGCUGUGUACCAAAACAUAUUAUUGCUGUGGGCUUAGCACUUUACUAAGUCCUGAAAAUGUAUAUUUUUUAACUUGGUUGCAUGUGAUUUAAUUCUGCAUUAACACUAUAUACUCAGUAGUUACACUUUAAUGUUGCAAAAUAGCUUAUAAACUUAGUAUUAAAAUAACAAAAACAUAUUUAUUUCUAUAUCCUUUUUCAACCAGCCCCAUCAAAGCACAACAUCCAUUUUUACCUUCCUCACAGGAGUCUUCGGUGUCAGUAUACGUAUUAUGUUUUGUUUGCUUUACAGAAACUAGCAAGGAAACAAGUGAAGAGAGCCGGGUAGCCCACCCCGCUGGGGGAUCAGCAGCAAGGCUGCUGCAAACUUUGGGUAAACUCCAAGAAAAGCGAAACUGUAAUAGGGAAAUGUAUAUGUCUCAGAGAAGAGCAGUCACACCUAGGGAUAGGUAACCAGCUUUCACUGACCUUGCUGCAAGACAGUUGUUAGCUGACGUAUGUUAACUAAGGUAUGAAAAUUAUAACCACAGGCUGUUUUGGGUAAUCGCACCCUCCCUCUGCUAUGUGCUUUGUGAACAUAUAAAGUAAAUACUCUGAGGCAGGAUGGGGCCGGAAAAAAUGAUACUUUCACUUCCCCAGACCUCCUAGACCCUCUUAGGGCAUCUAGUCCAAGAACAACUUAAGUAACCAGUAUUUGUUCAUUAUUUGUACUGGAAAUUAACCAGUCAGAAACUAUCAUGCAUGUUUAUAAAUCCAGUUUUUGGGCUUUUUGUUUUUGAGACAGAGCCUUGCACUGUCACCCAGGCUGCAGUGCUAACUCUAUCCUCUGCCUCCAAGGUUCAAGUGAUUCUCCUUGCUCAGCCUACCUAGUAAGUGGGAUUACAGGCACCUGCCACCACGCCCAGCUAAUUUUUUGUAUUUUUAGUAGAGACGGAGUUUCACUAUGUUGGCUAGGCUGGUCUUGAACUCCUUACCUUGUGAUUUGUCCUCAGCCUCCUAAAGUGCUGGGAUUACAGGCACGAACCAUUGUGCCCAGCCUAUAAAGCCUGUUUUAUAUGCCUGACUUGAUUGCCCUGCAACGUUCAGUCAGGAUUUUUUUGUUGUUGAGAGUUUCACUCUUUUUUUCUAGGCUGGAGUGAAAUGGCAUGAUGGCGGCUCACUACAGCCUCUACCUCCCAGGUUCAAGUGAUUCUUGUAUUUUAGGAGGGAAAUGGCAUUUCAACAUGUUGGACAGGCUGGUCUCAAACUCUUGACUUCAGAUGAUACUCCCACCCUGGCCUCCCAAAGUGCUGGGAUUACAGGCAUGAACCACCAGGCCCAACCUCAGUCAGGAUUUUUAAAGUCACUACCCCACAAGAUUGUGCUUUGUAUAGUCUAGUUAAUCUACAGAAGGAGGACAGAUUUCUUGAAGGUUUUUUCAGUUAGUAGUAGUCCCCUGGGCAUUAAUAUUUACUGCCCUGGUUUGGGCAUGGUGGCUCACCCCUGUAAUCCCAGCACUUUGGGAGUCUGAGGCAAGUUUACUCCAUCCUGGGCAACAAGAGUGAAACUCCAUCCCCCCGAAAAUUUACUGCCCUAGUUUCUAAAGGAAUUGUCAUCCACCAUCUUCCACUUUUUUUUUCAACUUGAAAGUCUGCACUCAAAAUGGGUGCUAAGAAUAUAGACUUUCUUCUUACAUGCAGCUUAAGUAGAUAACAGUGAUCCAGAAAGUGCAGAGAUGAAUGACUCAGAACAGUAGCCCUUUAACAGGAUCUCUUUUCAUUUGCAAUUCCUUGGAAAGAGCAGAGAAAUGCCAAGGCAGCUGGAGGAAACUACACUUCAGCAUUGAUGGAGCAGGUGGUGUAUGCCCAGGUGGCUUGUCUCUUUAAAAACCAGGAAGAUUUGUUGGCAGAGUUUGGACAGUUCCUACCAGAUGCCAGCAGCUCCUCGCUUUUAAGCAAAACAACUGCUGAGAAGGUUGAUUCUGGGAGAAAUGAUUAUGGAGCCACUGUCAAGAAGCCCCAACUGAACAACAGACUGCAAAGGCCUAGCCAGAAUAACUGCCAAAUCCGCAGACACCCCAGAAACCACCCCACAGAAACCACCUCUCCAGUGAAGGUUCCCUCCUGUACCUGAAACAAGAAGAUGCUUUCUGGUGUCUCGUUACCAUAGUGGAAGUUUUCAUGCCUUGAGACUAUUACACAAAGACUCUUAUAGGAUCCCAGUUGGGCAUGGUGGCAAAUGCCUGUAAUCCCAGCUACUCGAGAGGGUAAGGCAGAAGACUGCUUGAACCUGGGAGGUGGAGGUUUCAGUGAGCCAAGAUCGCACCUGCACUGCUGCCUGGGCAACAAGAGUGAAACUCAUCUCAAAAAAAAAAGGAAUAAAAGAACAUGGUGGCUGAGAGGGUCUGGUAAGUUCAGGUAACAGUGGCCUCAGGCCACAUUCACCUCAUGUGGGCUCAAUGGAUAGAGGCCUACCCCCAACUCAAGGGAAAGGAGCCAGUGAUGGCCGCAGAGGGUUGGGGGUCUCUGGGUCCUGGGACAAUGACUUUCAAACAGCGAAGGUGAGGAGAGACACUGUUCCUGUUUUGCCCUCAUGUGCUGCCCACCUGGCUCCCCAUCUGCCAGCUCACACUCUGCACGGGCAUGACCCCAAAAGGCUGUGGUGCUCCUGCUGGAGUAGGUUUGUGGUGGGCGAGAGUGUAGGCACAGGGUAUGUGGACACCCACCUGGAAUGGAAGGGGGCUCCCCCAGUCCUGUGGCCAACUCUGUGCAGCUGUCAGUGCCUGCACCCCCAGGAGCUGUCCAGAGGGAAGAUAAAGGCGGCAGACCGGAGAGGAAAGGACACUUACUCAAAGUGCCACUCCUGCUAACUACAAGACAAGGAGCUUCGGAGAGAAGAGCAAUCACCAAGGGCCUGUGGUAGGUAUGUGGACAGCCUGCUUUGAACUGGCCCUGCCUGGACUCACCCUAAGCCAGGCUCUCCCCUCCCUGCAUAGUCCAUCAGUGAGAGUGUUCAUACUUGCUCCUUCCCAGGGAGGAAGCACCAAGGGACUGCAGCCCUCCCCUCUGCUGACUUUUUAACUCCCUCUUGCCUCCUGUCCUCACCAGCUCAGAAGGUCCCUCAGGAGCAGCACUGCAUUUUCCCACCUCCUCAGCCCUCAGGGACUUCAGCCUACUAACCUAUCCCUCCUUCUCCUGGGCCUGAGCGAGCUAAGCUCUCUUCUGGCCUUCCUAUCAGCUCAUAAAUGCAGCCAACUCUCCCUCAUCAGGAAGCACAAACAUAAAGUAAAAUUAAAAAAUUA